UCCCAAGUACUGCACCACCGAGGCUCCCAAGUACUGCACCACCGAGGCUCCCAAGUACUGCACCACCGAGGCUCCCAAGUAUUACACGACUACGAAUGCUGCCGCAGCCUACUACACCGAGGCUCAAGCUUAUUUCAAUACCAAAGCGGUCGAGUACUACACCGAACCGCACAAGUACUACUCUGCCCCGAACUACACAACCACAACUGAGGCGGCGGAGUACGUCGUAGUCCAGACUUGCAACACAGCAGCUGCUCCUUCGUACUAUGUUGAACUGAAAUAAUACUCCGAGGCUCCAGUUUACUACGCCGCAACCCACGCUACACCUAGAUACUAUGACGAAGCCCCCAACUACUACACCGAAGAGGCCACAUAUUACACAACAACGUACACUGCCCCAGUUUACUAAGCUGAGGAUCCGAAAAAUUACUUUGCUCCAAGCUACUACCAAUCUGAUACUCUUGUUUACUACACCGAGGCCACUGGGUAUUACACCACAAACAAAUGUUAACUAUGGUGUCUUGCUGCUGUUGGUUGUGUUAUCCUUGAUGGCUGGGUCGGCCACUGAUGUCUUUUGAGUAUGGUGGAUACCAAACCGCAACGCCGGCGUCUUACUACACAACAACAUACGCAACAACCGAAUACCACACCACCAAGGCCCCAGAGUAUUACACCGCAACUUAUGAUAUUCCGAACUACUACAUCGAAGCCUUAAAGUACUCUGCCGCGAGUUACACCACCAAGGCAUCGGGGUACCACCCGACUACGUAUGCUGCCCCAGUCUUUUACACCGAUGCUCCCAAGUACUUCUCCGUUCCCAGUUACUACACCAAGGCUCCAGCUUAUUACGCCACCAAAGCGGUCCACUGUAGCGCCCUAGUACUACUCUGCACCGAAUUACUACUCAGCGGCUGCUCCUUCGUACUACGUCGGACCGAAAUACUACACUGAGGCUCAAGUUUACUACACUACAAUCCACGCUGCCCUCGACUACCAUACCGAGGCUCCGCUCCCAUACCGAUGUUCCCAAGUACUACACAACUAAGGUACCCGAGUAUUAUAUCACUACUUAGGCUGCUCUGACCUGCUGCACCGAAGCUGCGAAGUAUUCCACCGCCCCGAGUUACUACACCAUCAAGGCACCCCUGGAUAUUACAUCACAACCUGCGCUUCUCCAGUUUACUACAGGGAUGCUCUUAAAUACUAGAGUCAAAAUUUCUGACUUAGUUAUUUGUAUUCAGAUUUGUGGUGUCAUAUCCUAAUAGUUACUAAAUGAGAAAAUAAAUUUGUUUAAUGGUA